GAUGAACGCUGGCGGCGUGCUUAACACAUGCAAGUCGAACGAAGCACUUUAACCUGAUUCUUCGGAUGAAGGUUUUUGUGACUGAGUGGCGGACGGGUGAGUAACGCGUGGGUAACCUGCCUCAUACAGGGGGAUAACAGUUAGAAAUGACUGCUAAUACCGCAUAAGACCACAGAGCCGCAUGGCUCGGUGGGAAAAACUCCGGUGGUAUGAGAUGGACCCGCGUCUGAUUAGGUAGUUGGUGGGGUAACGGCCUACCAAGCCAACGAUCAGUAGCCGACGGGGGAGGGGGACGGGCCAAAGUGGGACAGAAACACGACCCAACCUCCUACGGGAGGAAGGAGGGGGAAAUAUUGCAAAAUGGGGAAAACCGUGAGGCAGCGACGCGGGGUGAACAAAAAAUUAUUUCGUUAUGAAAAGCUCUAUAAGAAGGAAAAAAAAGGAGGGAACCUAAUAAAGAACCCCGGCCAAAAUACGUC
rnacentral:rRNA from 1 species